CCCUUAGAUGUCCUGGGCCGCACGCGCGCUACACUGAGUGUCUGAGAUACGAGUCUGCCUGGUCCGGCAAGGUCUAGGUAAUCGCUAAAAGACACAUCAUGCUUGGGAUAGAUUAUUGCAAAUAUUAAUCUUGAACGAGGAAUUCCUAGUAAGCGCAAGUCAACAGCUUGCGUUGAUUACGUCCCUGCCCUUUGUACACACCGCCCGUCGCUACUACUGAUUGAUGUUUAAGCGAGGUUCUCGAACUGCUAGCGACUUAGCUUCGGUGAGGUCGCAGUGUGGGAAGUGAACCUAGCUUUGGUGUCUAGAGGAAGUAAAAGUCGUAACA
rnacentral:rRNA from 1 species